ACCCCCAGCCAGUCCGUCGAUCCAGCUGCCAGCGCAGCCGCCAGCGCCGGGUGAGUUGUGGGCGCACCCAGGGCGCGGGGCGACAUCGGGGGGGCCCCGGGAUCGUGUACGCCCGGGCAGCAGGGACGCGACCCCUCCACUUACUGGACCGGGAGCAGCCCCCGGAAUUGGUGACAGUAACGGGAGGGCCGAGGUGCCACCCAUGCCGCCGACCUCUGGUCUGCGCCACGCUCGCUCCGGCCCCAGAAUUCCACUUCGCCAUCCCGGGACAGCUUCCCACGCCUUUUGAGCCGAAGCAGGCGGGAAAAGUUUGGGGAGGAGUCAGGGCGCCUCCCCUCGCCCCGCCGGACUUACACCCGGGGCUCUUGGAGUCCAGGGAGAUCCCCAGGUCGCGUGAGGGAUUCCCGGGCAGCGUCCCCAGACUCGCCUCGCGGGCAGGACUGGUGCGCCAGGCCGGGCCAGCGGGUCCUCCUGGGCUGCGUACCCCUCUAGGCCCCCGCCGCUGCUCCGUCGCGCCCCCGAGCGGCGAGGAGCGACUUCUUGGGGGUCAGGAACGGUGGAGGAGCCGGGAGGCGCUGCUGGGAUGACACCUCUCUCCCUGCCAACUCUAGAAGGGCUUGGGGGGCUUUAAAGAGGCGAGACCGCACCCAUGUGUUCCAGAGGUAGGAGAGGCUGCAGCUCGUAGUGUGUAUUCUACGCCCUCCCCAAAUCCAGAGAUCUGAGCACGCUCCAGGGAGGUCUUUUAGGUGAAGAUGUGGGGCUGGACAUGGGGACUCCGAAGACACCACAGGGCAAAGCUCUCCCUCCAGGCCAGCUUCAGUUUUGGGGAAGGGAGCACUGCCCCUCCCAAGCUUUGAGGGUGUGUGUGUGUGUGUGUGUGUGUGUGUGUGCACCUUGAUCUUAUAAUUCAGCUGUGUCUAAGUAAGGGGCUUGGAGAGGGACUUAAGAAGCCUCCAGUUCAAAUACAGUGUGAUUCCACUUUUAUGAGACACCUAGAAUAGGCAAAUUUUAUAGACAGAAAGUAGAAUGAUGGUUGCCAGGGCCUGGGGGUACCUGGGAACCGGGAGUUACUGUUUAAUGGGACAGAGUUUUUCUUGGGGAGGAUGAAAAAGUUUUGGGUAUACAUAGUGGCAAUGGUUACACAGUAUCGUGAAGGUAUUUAAUGCCACUGAGUUGUAUGCUUAUCAUCGGUUAAAAUGAUGAUUAUGAUGUUAUGCAUAUUUUAUCAUAAAAAUUUUUUAAAAGCCGCCUUUAGCCACCUCUGCACUCCAGUCUGAAUCAGAGAGAAAUCUAAGAACCGACACAUUAUUGCUGGGCACCUCUUCCUGGAAUUCGGCCUUCAGUUAAGAAAGCUUAAAGAGGACGAGGAAGGGACGGGGUCCUGGUUUCCCAGGAGUCACACAAGGGGAAGGAUGGCGACCUGAGCUGCUGGAGGUUUGCAGUUGGCUGGUGCUCGCCCUCCAUCUCCGUUUCUCCCUGGGAGCCUCACCCCUGAGCUGUUUCCAGCACGCUCUCCUGUUGCAAGUGGGGAAACAGGCUAGAGAUCUAAGUCGGUUUGCUCAAGGCCACUGAGCUGGUAAAUGCAAAGAACUAGACCUUGAACCUCCAUCUGCCUCCCAAGCCCUCCCCUUCUUUCCACCUGGAGAUGCCCUGCUGGUUUGCAGGGAAUGAGGGGAGACCCUUCUGGGGAAAACAGGGCGUGGAUGCCCACGGGGGCCUUGGCAAAUGCCAAGACUACAGCCCAGGGAGAGGCGUGGAGGUGGCAGGAAGGUGCAGAACCUGUUUUCCCACUGAGGGUUUUUGGAUCUCACCACCUCCAUCCCAUGGGGAGCCAGGGAGUCGAGUAGGAGGCAGAGGGCUGGCCACAUAGCCUGGAGCCUCCUCUGCCCCUCAAGUGGAGAGAUUGAGGUGCGCCUGAAAUCCAGAGAAUGUGUUUGUGUUGGAAACCACGGAGUCGACCAGCUGAGUGGGUGAGGGCAGGGCCAGGCGGAAGCGUCCCUGUGAGGAGGGUGAGGCUUGGGGCUGACACUGCCCCACCUCGGGCUGGAGGAGGGGGUGCACCCGCUCUGGCUGGCACCACCCCAGAUUAGGGUCUAGCUAAUGAGGGGCUAAAAGGGCUUGGUGGCGUUUUAUUGUGGCUAUGGAGCACAUCCAUUUAGCAAACCGCCCCCGCUUCUCCACCCUCACCCCAGUAAUGGCACUUAAAUCCUUUCUUCCUGGAACGGAAGUGAAUGUUUCACCUCAGUAUCUUUUCUCUGCCUCUCACAUAAUAUCUUCGUAGUAGGAGCUAAAACCACAUGCAUAUGUGCACAGACUCCCCAAUUUCCCGCAACAGGUAAUUAACAGGGAGGAUCAACCAGCCCAUUUUUCACCCUAGGCAUAGAGUGACACUCUCCUGCCCUCGCCUCUGCUAUACAGCCUUCCAGGUCAGUGAGGGCACAGCAAAGGCCACUUCUUUGUCAUAGUAAACUCCGCCAGACGGGACCAGGAAGGGAAGUCUGUCGAGAUGAAAAUAUAUAAAUGUCCUUCCAGGCCAGAUGGGCUGGCGCUGGACUGCUGGCUGCUUGGCGAGUAUCUCCGGUGCUUAAUGAGUAGCUGCUAAAGUGAAUAAUUGAAUUCCUGGGGCCCUCAUCUUCCUUGGCAAGCUGGGCUUCUGUUGAUCUAAAAGGGACUGAGGAUGAAGAAGAGACUUCUCCGGUUCCUGCUCUUUAGGGACAGGCUAGAUGACAUCAGCUUCUAGAAGCUUCCUGGAACUCUGGGUCCAGAGCUGAGGGAGGGGUCACCAGGGUGAUAUUUGACACCAUGAUUGUCCUGAGAAAUCUAGGAUGCAAAAUCGCCAUCACCAUGCAG
rnacentral:lncRNA from 1 species